UAUAGCCUGAGGCACUAGGUGUUAUAGGCGUAUGGUGGCAACUGCCUCUUAGCAUUGUGUCAAUGGGGAAAUGCGCAGCAAAUGUAAAUAUUAAACAAUGUAGCCUUAUCAUUGUGACCAAUUUAAUAUUGUAGCUAUGUUCUUGUGUAUCAUGGGAGCACACUUUUACGCUUUCCUCCUUCAGUAUAAUCUUUGUCUCCAAGUGCUACAUUCCAAUGUAUCGUUGGAGGUAGUAAUAUUGUUAAUAAUUAAGUCGAUAUAUUAUUUUAACUGUUGCAAAUUAUUUUAUUAUCUGAAGAUUUUUUAUAGUAACAUGCUUACUAUCAAUCGAUAAAGGUCUUGUCAACAUCAAAACUAUAUACCAUGACAAAACAUUUAUUUUAUUCUGUUUCCAAAGUGCCAAUCAUUUCAUUACCAAAAUGCAUGUGCCAUAUACUUCCACUAAUUAUUUGACCUAUGGUCAUUUCUUGUCCUAUGUCUUACAGUAUAUGUAUAAUAUCCUGUCUCUGUCUUACAGUAUAUGUAUAAUGUCCUGUAGGUGGUGCCUUCUACCCUACAGUGCUAUUGUCCUCUGUCUUACAGUAUAUGUAUAAUGUCCUGUAGGUGGUGCCUUCUACCCUACAGUGUUAUUGUCCUCUGUCUUACAGUAUAUGUAUAAUGUCCUGUAGGUGGUGCCUUCUACCCUUCAGUGUUAUUGUCCUCUGUCUUACAGUAUAUGUAUAAUGUCCUGUAGGUGGUGCCUUAUACCCUACAGUGUUAUUGUCCUCUGUCUUACAGUAUAUGUAUAAUGUCCUGUAGGUGGUGCCUUCUACCCUUCAGUGUUAUUGUCCUCUGUCUUACAGUAUAUGUAUAAUGUCCUGUAGGUGGUGCCUUAUACCCUACAGUGUUAUUGUCCUCUGUCUUACAGUAUAUAUAUAAUGUCCUGUAGGUGGUGCCUUCUACCCUACAGUGUUAUUGUCCUCUGUCUUACAGUAUAUGUAUAAUGUCCUAUAGGUGGUGCCUUCUACCCUUCAGUGUUAUUGUCCUCUGUCUUACAGUAUAUAUAUAAUGUCCUGUAGGUGGUGCCUUAUACCCUACAGUGUUAUUGUCCUCUGUCUUACAGUAUAUGUAUAAUGUCCUAUAGGUGGUGCCUUCUACCCUUCAGUGUUAUUGUCCUCUGCCUUACAGUAUCAGUAUAAUGUCCUGUAGGUGGUGCCUUCUACCCUACAGUGUUAUUGUCCUCUGUCUUACAGUAUAUGUAUAAUGUCCUGUAGGUGGUGCCUUCUAUCCUACAGUGUUAUUGUCCUCUGUCUUAGAGUAUAUGUAUAAUGUCCUGUAGGUGGUGCCUUAUACCCUACAGUGUUAUUGUACUCUGUCUUACAGUAUAUAUAUAAUGUCCUGUAGGUGGUGCCUUAUACCCUACAGUGUUAUUGUCCUCUGCCUUACAGUAUAUGUAUAAUGUCCUGUAGGUGGUGCCUUCUACCCUACAGUGUUAUUGUCCUCUGUCUUACAGUAUAUAUAUAAUGUCCUGUAGGUGGUGCCUUAUACCCUACAGUGUUAUUGUCCUCUGUCUUACAGUAUAUGUAUAAUGUCCUGUAGGUGGUGCCUUAUACCCUACAGUGUUAUUGUCCUCUGUCUUACAGUAUAUAUAUAAUGUCCUGUAGGUGGUGCCUUCUACCCUACAGUGUUAUUGUCCUAUGUCUUACAGUAUAUGUAUAAUGUCCUGUAGGUGGUGCCUUAUACCCUACAGUGUUAUUGUCCUCUGUCUUACAGUAUAUGUAUACUGUCCUGUGGGUGGUGCCUUAUACCCUACAGUGUUAUUGUCCUCUGUCUUACAGUAUAUGUAUAAUGUCCUGUAGGUGGUGCCUUAUACCCUACAGUGUUAUUGUCCUAUGUCUUACAGUAUAUGUAUAAUGUCCUGUAGGUGGUGCCUUAUACCCUACAGUGUUACUAUCCUCUGUCUUACAGUAUAUGUAUAAUGUCCUGUAGGCGGUGCCUUCUACCCUACAGUGUUAUUGUCCUCUGUCUUACAGUAUAUGUAUAAUGUCCUGUAGGUGGUGCCUUCUACCCUACAGUGUUAUUGUCCUCUGUCUUACAGUAUAUGUAUAAUAUCCUGUAGGUGGUGCCUUCUACCCUACAGUGUUAUUGUCCUCUGUCUUACAGUAUAUGUAUAAUAUCCUGUAGGUGGUGCCUUCUACCCUACAGUGUUAUUGUCCUCUGUCUUACAGUAUAUGUAUAAUAUCCUGUAGGUGGUGCCUUAUACCCUACAGUGUUAUUGUCCUCUGUCUUACAGUAUAUGUAUAAUAUCCUGUAGGUGGUGCCUUCUACCCUACAGUGUUAUUGUCCUCUGUCUUACAGUAUAUAUAUAAUGUCCUGUAGGUGGUGCCUUCUACCCUACAGUGUUAUUGUCCUCUGUCUUACAGUAUAUAUAUAAUGUCCUGUAGGUGGUGCCUUAUACCCUACAGUGUUAUUGUCCUCUGUCUUACAGUAUAUGUAUAAUGUCCUGUAGGUGGUGCCUUCUAUCCUACAGUGUUAUUGUCCUCUGUCUUACAGUAUAUAUAUAAUGUCCUGUAGGUGGUGCCUUAUACCCUACAGUGUUAUUGUCCUCUGUCUUACAGCAUAAUAUCCUGUAGGUGGUGCCUUCUACCCUAUAGUGUUAUUGUCCUCUGUCUUACAGCAUAAUAUCCUGUAGGUGGUGCCUUAUACCCUACAGUGUUAUUGUCCUCUGUCUUACAGCAUAAUGUCCUGUAGGUGGUGCCUUCUACCCUAGUGUUAUUGUCCUCUGUCUUACAGUAUAUAUAUAAUGUCCUGUCUCUGUCUUACAGUAUCUGUAUAAUGUCCUGUCUCUGUCUUACAGUAUAUGUAUAAUAUCCUGUAGGUGGUGCCUUCUACCCUACAGUGCUAUUGUCCUCUGUCUUACAGUAUAUGUAUAAUAUCCUGUAGGUGGUGCCUUAUACCCUACAGUGUUAUUGUCCUCUGUCUUACAGUAUAUGUAUAAUGUCCUGUAGGUGGUGCCUUAUACCCUACAGUGUUAUUGUCCUCUGUCUUACAGUAUAUGUAUAAUGUCCUGUAGGUGGUGCCUUCUACCCUACAGUGCUAUUGUCCUCUGUCUUACAGUAUAUGUAUAAUGUCCUGUCUCUGUCUUACAGUAUAUGUAUAAUGUCCUGUAGGUGGUGCCUUAUACCCUACAGUGCUAUUGUCCUCUGUCUUACAGUAUAUGUAUAAUGUCCUGUAGGUGGUGCCUUCUACCCUACAGUGCUAUUGUCCUCUGCCUUACAGUAUAUGUAUAAUGUCCUGUAGGUGGUGCCUUAUACCCUACAGUGUUAUUGUCCUCUGUCUUAUAGUAUAUAUAUAAUGUCCUGUAGGUGGUGCCUUCUACCCUACAGUGUUAUUGUCCUCUGUCUUACAGUAUAUGUAUAAUGUCCUGUAGGUGGUGCCUUCUACCCUACAGUGUUAUUGUCCUCUGUCUUACAGUAUAUAUAUAAUGUCCUGUAGGUGGUGCCUUCUACCCUACAGUGUUAUUGUCCUCUGUCUUACAGUAUAUGUAUAAUGUCCUGUAGGUGGUGCCUUCUACCCUUCAGUGUUAUUGUCCUCUGUCUUACAGUAUAAUGUCCUGUAGGUGGUGCCUUAUACCCUACAGUGCUAUUGUCCUCUGUCUUACAGUAUAUAUAUAAUGUCCUGUAGGUGGUGCCUUAUACCCUACAGUGUUAUUGUCCUCUGUCUUACAGUAUAUGUAUAAUGUACUGUAGGUGGUGCCUUCUACCCUUCAGUGUUAUUGUCCUAUGUCUUACAGUAUAUGUAUAAUGUCCUGUAGGUGGUGCCUUCUACCCUACAGUGUUAUUGUCCUCUGUCUUACAGUAUAAUGUCCUGUAGGUGGUGCCUUCUACCCUUCAGUGUUAUUGUCCUCUGUCUUACAGUAUAUAUAUAAUAUCCUGUAGGUGGUGCCUUCUACCCUACAGUGUUAUUGUUCUCUUUUACUAUCUAUGUGUUCUUGAAGUAUCAGUAAUGUCCGACACUUUAUUUUGAUGUACAUGCUUAUUUUACCCGAUUUUAUAUGCAGGUUAAAAGCCUUUAUGUCCACGUUAAAUAUAUACGUUCAUAUGUGUAAGCUGAUGAGAUUUGUAAGGACAUUUUUAUUAAAAUCAAUUUUGUUA